rnacentral:rRNA from 1 species
AGCAGCCGCGGUAAUUCCAGCUCCAAUAGCGUAUAUUAAAGUUGUUGCAGUUAAAAAGCUCGUAGUUGAAUUUCGGGGUCAGUAGGUUGGUCAUGCCACUGGUAUGUACUGGUCUCACUGAUUCCUCCUUCCUGAUGAACUGUAAUGCCAUUAAUUUGGUGUUGCAGGGAAUCUGGACUGUUACUUUGAAAAAUUAGAGUGUUUAAAGCAGGCUAACGCCUGAAUACAUUAGCAUGGAAUAAUGAAAUAGGACGUUCGAUCCUAUUUUGUUGGUUUCUAGGAUUGACGUAAUGAUUAAUAGGGAUAGUUGGGGGCAUUAGUAUUCAAUUGUCAGAGGUGAAAUUCUUGGAUUUAUUGAAGACUAACUACUGCGAAAGCAUUUGCCAAGGAUGUUUUCAUUAAUCAAGAACGAAAGUUAGGGGAUCGAAGACGAUCAGAUACCAUCGUAGU